CAGCCCUAAACGAUGCGCGUUAGGUGUAUCGGUGACCACGAGUCACCGAGGUGCCGAAGGGAAACCGUGAAACGUGCCGCCUGGGAAGUACGGUCGCAAGGCUGAAACUUAAAGGAAUUGGCGGGGGAGCACCACAACGGGUGGGAGCCUGCGGGUUUAAAUUUGGACUCAACGCCGGGAAGCUCACCGGAUAAGACAGCGGAAUGAUUGCCGGGCUGAAGACCCUGCAUGACCAGCUGAGAGGAGGUGCAUGGCGUCAGUGACU
rnacentral:rRNA from 1 species